CCAGAAACAUGCCAUUGGAGUGCCCAGCCUUCAGAACGAUUUUGUCUUCUACCUGAGGAAGAGAGUGAGACAGAGUAACAUAUACAUAGAACAACAAGGAUGGUCGUGUGAAAGAAAAAUCAAAGGAACAGUGUAAUAGAAAGACAGUCGAGCUGGCACUCCAACUGCUGGAGCUGCUCCUGUCUAUCCUGUCAAUACCCAGCUGUGUUAUGCCUUCUCACUCCAUCAAAACAUAAAAUAAAUAAAAGAAAAACGUAUGUGCUUGUAAUGAACAGACUCUAAAAGGGCCUUCAAUUAUACUCACCUUUUUGUAUUCAUAUUCUUGUGUAUUCCCCUUCCUUUGAGCAUGAGUGGGACCUGUAACUUGCUUCCAACCAGUGGGACAUGGCAAAAGUAAUGAGAUGUCACUUAUACAGUUACAUUAUAUAAGAAAUAGUAACUGUCUUGCAAAGAGAUUCCCUCCCUUGCUGGCU
rnacentral:lncRNA from 10 species